ensembl:snRNA U6 U6 spliceosomal RNA
GUGCUCACUUUGGCAGCACAUGGACUAAAAUUGGAAUACUAGACAAAAUUAGCCUGGCCCCUGCACAAGGAUGAUAUGCAAAUUCUUGCAGCGUUCCACAUUUUA